AGCGACCCACCAGCCAACCCUUUUGGUUGCGCAUAGGCAUAGCCAACAGUCCUCACCUUCUCUUUUCCUUGGCAGCUUUAGCAGUAACUUCUCUCUUUGGGCUGACAAUAACCUCUCUCUUGGCAACAUCUUCUCCUAUCUAGCAGAAAAACUUAUAUGGAAUGGGGAUAACACUGUUUUGCUAUCCCUACCCAAUCACAGAAUGCC
rnacentral:lncRNA from 1 species